GAAAAUAUUGACAUGAUUUUCAUCUACCACUCGGUUGAUAAACCAUUAACAGUUUCACUGUAAGAGUGCCAUUUUUUAUGAAUGUUAUCCAUGGAGAAGACCUCCUCUGUGUACUGUGUGUUGUUGCUGAUAUUCUUCAUUGUCUGUCAGGCGGGUCCUGUCCAUACGCAGAAGAAUGUAAGUUGUUUCUCAUUUAUUCACACCGAUAACAAUAGUCCCAUGACGUUAGAGGAUACUUGUUUAGAAAUCAGCAAUAACAAAACAAACACUAUGUAUACAGGUAUAUUUCUAUACGUGGGAAAGUCUUUAUGCUCAUAUGACGACAUGCAGUUGGAAGAAAUCAAAAAGUAUAUCAUUCACGACGCUUACCAGCGGCCAUUGUGUAGGACAAUGAUGACGAUGUCAAUUGAUAUAGCACGAUGCACAGAAAGCAUUGAUAAGUUAUAGGAAUUCUGCAAACGACCAAAGUCAAUUUAUUUUCAAGAAUGUUUUUCUGUCAACUGUCCAGGUACCAGUGAGAAUAAAAUGAAUGGUGAACAUUUACAACAACUCCAU